rnacentral:rRNA from 1 species
AACGAACGCUGGCGGCAGGCUUAACACAUGCAAGUCGAACGCCCCGCAAGGGGAGUGGCAGACGGGUGAGUAACGCGUGGGAACAUACCCUUUCCUGCGGAAUAGCUCUGGGAAACUGGAAUUAAUACCGCAUACGCCCUACGGGGGAAAGAUUUAUCGGGGAAGGAUUGGCGCGCGUUGGAUUAGCUAGUUGGUGGGGUAAAGGCCUACCAGGGCGACGAUCCAUAGCUGGUCUGAGAGGAUGAUCAGCCACAUUGGGACUGUGACACGGCCCAAACUCCUACGGGAGGCAGCAGUGGGGAAUAUUGGACAAUGGGCGCAAGCCUGAUCCAGCCAUGCCGCGUGAGUGAUGAAGGCCUUAGGGUUGUAAAGCUCUUUCACCGAUGAAGAUAAUGACGGUAGUCGGAGAAGAAGCCCCGGCUAACUUCGUGCCAGCAGCCGCCGUAAGAC